UUCUACUCACUUUGAGACCUCCUCUCGGCUUCCUUCCUGGCAAAGGCCUUCAGAGGGAACCAAGAGCCUACUUUGCCUUUUCCCACAGGCCAGUUAAACACCAUUAUGGCUGCUUGUGUUUAACCGCCAUCGCACAAACAGCCUUGAGGAGAAUUCAACAGCCUACUCAGAGGACCAUCACCUGAAGUUCCAACUGUGGGGGGGAGGUUACCUUCGACGUGUUGACUGGUCCGAAGCCUAGACGGCUUCCAGUGAAAUGGGGAGUGACCACUUGGGGACGAUGGUGACCUUCUCUCCGUGUGGCAGACGUCUAUGGGACAAUGAGAUUCUACUAAACUACAGUGUUUUCCACAGAGGAAUCGUGAUUCAGAAGGAAGAAAGAACCGUAAGUGACCUUGUUUUACAUUUCUACUCACUUUGAGACCUCCUCUCGGCUUCCUUCCUGGCAAAGGCCUUCAGAGGGAACCAAGAGCCUACUUUGCCUUUUCCCACAGGCCAGUUAAACACCAUUAUGGCUGCUUGUGUUUAACCGCCAUCGCACAAACAGCCUUGAGGAGAAUUCAACAGCCUACUCAGAGGACGAGAAAUUGCUGCUGAGGAAGAGGCUCCCCAACCGCACUAUUUCUACGCGGCUUUGGUGUGUCCCGCGGCAAGUGGCCUCUUGAAUCCGGAUCACUUGACCAGAGACGACCACCCAACACUCUCCCCGCCAGGGAAAUUACAUUCCCACUCAUUCACAAUUACAGUCUGUAGAGUCGCACAAAACAUCCCCAAGCCUUGUGCAGACAACCCCACAUCACAUAAAAGGAACAUGAUCCCGGAGCACGUGCAGGGGCUGAGAGGAAAUGUCUCUGCCACCAGCCUUGGAGCACCCUUUUGAUCAGGAACAUGAGGACGGGAAAGGAAGCUCCCCACCCUCCUGGCACCCAUGGCAGAACUUGUCUGCGUGGUCAAGUGUAGGUGACAGAGCUGUGUCCUGCCAGAUAGCCCCCAUCACGGAGGAACACCCAAGGCAGCAGCCUCGUGCUCUGUUCCCACCACAUGCUACCCCAGGACCAAAGGCUUUGGUGCUCUGCAGAGGCAAAGCCAGCAAGCCCUGGCCUAGGAAAGAUCAUCUUUAAGUAAGAAAGCGAGAAGAGCUGAUUAUCCGCACAGCACUCUCAAAACCCAAAGGCAUAGUACGUCUGCUACUGGGAAUUUAAAAUACGAGAACAAAAUGCUCCUCCGCACGUGUUUCCUUUGCCUUUCUGAUACCACGCUUCCCAUCCCCAGUCUCCAGAGCUGCAGGGGGAACCCCGCUCCCGUUGGAUGUGGCCCGAGGUAGCUGCCUACCUGGACAGUCCUCCUCGUCACUGCUGCCGCUGAGAAAGAUCUCCACAACGCAGUCUUUAAAGAC